rnacentral:rRNA from 1 species
AGUCGAACGGUAACAGUAAGUAGCAAUACUUAGCUGACGAGUGGCGCACGGGUGCGUAACACGUAUGCAACCUACCCUUUACCGGGGCAUAACCUUGAGAAAUCGGGGCUAAUAUCCCAUGUGAUUACAGAUAGGCAUCUAUUUAUAAUUAAAGUUACGAUGGUAAAGGAUGGGCAUGCGCCCCAUUAGCUAGUUGGUGAGGUAACGGCUCACCAAGGCGAUGAUGGGUAGGGGUCCUGAGAGGGAUAUCCCCCACACUGGUACUGAGACACGGACCAGACUCCUACGGGAGGCAGCAGUAAGGAAUAUUGGGCAAUGGAGGCAACUCUGACCCAGCCAUGCCGCGUGCAGGAAGACGGCCUUAUGGGUUGUAAACUGCUUUUAUAUAGGAAUAAUUUCGGGUACGUGUACCCGAUUGCAAGUACUAUAUGAAUAAGCACCGGCUAACUCCGUGCCAGCAGCCGCGGUAAUACGGAGGGUGCAAGCGUUAUCCGGAUUUAUUGGGUUUAAAGGGUGCGUAGGCGGGUAUCUAAGUCAGUGGUGAAAUACCCCGGCUCAACUGGGGAGCUGCCAUUGAUACUGGGUACCUGGAGUUUAGUUGAAGUGGGCGGAAUGUAUGGUGUAGCGGUGAAAUGCAUAGAUAUCAUACAGAACGCCGAUAGCGAAGGCAGCUCACUAAGCUAUAACUGACGCUGAGGCACGAAAGCGUGGGGAGCAAACAGGAUUAGAUACCCUGGUAGUCCACGCCGUAAACGAUGAUCACUAGCUGUUGGCGAUACACUGUCAGUGGCCAAGCGAAAGCGAUAAGUGAUCCACCUGGGGAGUACGUCGGCAACGAUGAAACUCAAAGGAAUUGACGGGGGCCCGCACAAGCGGAGGAGCAUGUGGUUUAAUUCGAUGAUACGCGAGGAACCUUACCUGGGCUUGAACGUAUGGUGCAUGAUAGAGAAAUCUAUCUUUUCAGCAAUGAACUUCAUACGAGGUGCUGCAUGGUUGUCGUCAGCUCGUGCCGUGAGGUGUUAGGUUAAGUCCUGCAACGAGCGCAACCCCUAUCUUUAGUUACCAUCAGGUUAUGCUGGGGACUCUAAAGGGACUGCCUGCGCAAGCAGUGAGGAAGGUGGGGAUGACGUCAAAUCAGCACGGCCCUUAUGUCCAGGGCUACACACGUGCUACAAUGGUCGGUACAGAGGGCAGCUACUUAGUGAUAAGAUGCUAAUCUCCAAAGCCGGUCUUAGUUCGGAUCGAAGUCUGCAACUCGACUUCGUGAAGUCGGAUUCGCUAGUAAUCGCAUAUCAGCAAUGAUGCGGUGAAUACGUUCCCGGGCCUUGUACACACCGCCCGUCAAGCCAUGGAAGUUGGGGGUACCUGAAGUCGAUAACCGUAAGGAGUCGC